rnacentral:lncRNA from 1 species
UGAUACAUGUCCAUACCAAGAACGGCUUGGCCGAAAUCUUUUAAAAUGCAAAUAGGUGAUUGAUAGACCAUAACUUGUGAGGUCAAAACUUCCAUUCACAGCUUGGGCCACACGAAAUUUACAUGCACCUAAAUUAAUACGCAUCAGGCGCAACAUCAUCCAAGAUUUCGUGUGUGUGUAUUUGAGGUCGAUGACUCAAUAUGUUCGAUCAAAUUGUGGCAUGGCCGAUGGUAA